rnacentral:sRNA from 1 species
AAAUGGAGAAUUCUUCACAGACCUAUCGA